rnacentral:rRNA from 1 species
GCAUACGGCCAUACCACCCUGAGCACGUCCGAUCUCGUCUCAUCUCUGAAGCUGAGCAGGGUUGGGCGUGGUCAGUAUUUGGAUGCA